CAUGGCCACAGGGGACGAAGCAGCUGCUAAGCGUCCUACGUGGGCGUUACAAUACUAAUACCAACUUACAGUGAUCAACGUUUCAGUUUCUUCAAUAUUUCAAGCCUUUGGCUCAGAUCUAUGAAACUAAGACUGGGCAAGCAGUGAACAGAUGUAGAAUUCCUCUCCUUUAAAAAUCUGAUCAGGACUGUGCCUGGCUAAGAAUUUCAUAAUCUGACUUUGGAUAAUGAAACUAGUCAGCUAGGCCUGUGGGACAGCUAGGUCAAGUGCAAGGAGGCUGGCUUGCGUCGAUGAUGGAGAUUAAUCAUAAGCAGCUCUUAACUGUAGGAGACAGAAAGGUGAUAUCAUCUCUGUGCCUUUCAGAAGGAUUUGUGCCACUUACGGCACAGCCAGAAAUACAAUUUAGUAUUUAAAAGGUUGUUUCAGUAUUUAAAGUUUUGUUUUCAAUAUGGCAGAAAAAGGGGUUUAUCAGUAUCACAUCAGCGAAAGAAUGGCAAAAAGCAAGCAAAAUGUUUCUUGGAUAAUAAAAAACAUUUAGAUAAUAGGGAAAUGACUGAUGUAUUCAAA